rnacentral:rRNA from 1 species
UACGAAGGGGGCUAGCGUUGCUCGGAAUCACUGGGCGUAAAGCGCACGUAGGCGGCUUUCUAAGUCAGGGGUGAAAUCCUGGAGCUCAACUCCAGAACUGCCUUUGAUACUGGAGAGCUUGAGUCCGGAAGAGGUGAGUGGAACUCCGAGUGUAGAGGUGAAAUUCGUAGAUAUUCGGAAGAACACCAGUGGCGAAGGCGGACUCACUGGUCCGGUACUGACGCUGAUGUGCGAAAGCGUGGGGAGCAAACGGGG